CCUACGGGAGGCAGCAGUGAGGAAUAUUGGUCAAUGGGCGCUAGCCUGAACCAGCCAAGUAGCGUGAAGGAUGACUGCCCUAUGGGUUGUAAACUUCUUUUAUAUGGGAAUAAAGUGCAGUAUGUAUACUGCUUUGCAUGUACAUUAUGAGUAAGGAUCGGCUAACUCGGUGCCAGAAGCCGCGGUAAUACAGCGGAGCCGAGCGUUAUCCGGAUUUAUUUGGUUUAAAGGGAGCGUAGGCGGGUUGUUAAGUCAGUGGUGAAAGUUUGCGGCUCAACCGUGUAAUUGCAGUUGAUACUGGCAGCCUUGAGUACAGUAGAGGUAGGCGGAAUUCGUGGUGUAGCGGUGAAAUGCUUAGAUAUCACGAAGAACUCCGAUUGCGAAGGCAGGCUGCUGGACUGCAACUGACGCUGAUGCUCGAAAGUGUGGGUAUCAAACAGGAUUAGAUACCCUGGUAGUC
rnacentral:rRNA from 1 species